rnacentral:pre_miRNA from 1 species
AGUGAGAUAGCUGGGCCAAAUGGUGGUUCCAUUCCAAGUUUUCUGAGGAAUCUCCAUAAUGUUUUCCACAGUGGUUGCACCAAUUUGCAUCCCCAUCAGCAAU